GCAGUAUUUUGCCGGCACGACGAACUCAACGAACCUCCCGGGAGAGCAACAGCGCGCAGAAAAACCACCGACUAGAAUUAUCAAAAUGCACAUGGCAACCGAAAUUGUUAUCACCAUUUACGGCACGUUGAUUCUUAAAUUUGUUUAUAAAAGAAGAAGAAUUCGAUGUGAAUAAUCUGAGAACAAAAACAAAAUAGCCGAUGAAGGACAAACGGUACGUGGCCUCGACCAGAUGAAGAAGAAGGGAGUCGUCAGCGAAACCAGUUUUUCAGAUGGCCUACGUGCCGCUCAGAACGUUCGCCCAGCAACAGAGAGAAAGAUACACGCCGUACAGUGCGUCGCGGUUGCUGCUGGCCUUAUCGAAGACCGAAACAACAACUCACAGCACCCAGACUGACUGAAUGUUUUCAAUUUCUCUCUUCCCACCGGCAUUCAUCAGUUCGUUCCCUCUUUGCUCCACUUUUCUACACAUUGGGCAGAGAAAAAAAGCUCAUGCUCUUUCGGGAAGCCGAAACAUUGUCACUCUUGUACAACCGCCGAUAAGAGUCAACAUCUGUUGGUGGGUUGGGGAUGUCUAUAGGGGGGAAAUUCUAUAGGCCUCCAGCUGAGGGUAUUUUUGAAAUGUGUAAAAGUCAUUUUCCAACCACGACCUACUUCUUUUUUUUCGUUGUGCACUGGGAAGAAGAAGAAGCCGAGCUAUACAGCAAAGGAGAAAAUAGAAUGUAGAGGGUUGCUUGAACUGCUGCAGACGGCCUAAAUCACGAACUCAUUAUAUUUGUCUCUCCCCCCUACCAUUUCUUUUGCCAAGGGAAACUUUUUGAAGGAGCUAUAGGAAAACAAACUGGCAGAGACCUCGAGGUCUUUCAACCUGUCCUUUGACACGCGUUCCUCAUCUUGACAUGUUUCUCCUAGUAACAGCAGUUCAACUAUAGCCGGACAGGCUACUAUAUCAGAAUACCAACAACUCUACACAGUUGGCAAGGUAGAUCGCUCCUAUACAAACAAACAAAUAACUCUGAUUUUCCUUUUCUUCCUUUUUUUUAAAAAAUGUGAAUCAAAAGAUAAGAAAAUGGUCUCCCUUAAAGCGGCUGUGAUAUUUAUUUACUCUUGUAAUCUUAUUUUAAAUAAAUAAUCUGCCGGGUGUAUAUGUGUAACGGGCGGCACAGGAUAUUCCAUUUGUUUCCACGGUUCUCACAGUGUGUGUAUCCAAGUACGUGUUGUUUGUAAACACAACUUUGAACCCCCCAGCACCAAUCACGCGAUAAUAUGCAUGCGUGUAGAGUCCCCAUCAUUUAAGGAUUUCUGUAACGUAAUAAAAAUAUAUUGCCAUUAGA